rnacentral:rRNA from 1 species
GACGAACGCUGGCGGCGUGCCUAAUACAUGCAAGUAGAACGCUGAAGGAGGAGCUUGCUUCCCUGGAUGAGUUGCGAACGGGUGAGUAACGCGUAUGUAACCUGCCUGUUAGCGGGGGAUAACUAUUGGAAACGCUAGCUAAUACCGCAUAAGAGUAGAUGUUGCAUGACAUUUGCUUAAAAGAUGCAAUUGCAUCACUACCAGAUGGACCUGCGUUGUAUUAGCUAGUUGGUGGGGUAACGGCGCACCAAGGCGACGAUUGAUAGCCGGCCUGAGAAGGGGGUCGGCCCAACUGGGACCUGGACACCGCCCAGACUUCUUCCGGAGGCCGCCGUAGGGGAACUUCGGCAAUUGACGGAAGGCCUGCCGAAGAACCCCGGGGGAGGGAAUGAGGUUCUCGGGUCGGUAAGAUCCGUUGUAAGGGAAGAAAGAGAGUGAGAGUGGAAAGUGCACAUUGUGACGGUAUCUUACCAGAAAGGGACGGCUAACUACGUG